GACGGCGACGGCGGCUGUCGUUAGUGUUUUGACGGCCGUCGUCGUUUUAAAGGGCCGUUAAAACCGUUUAAUAUGUCCAAUGUUUUUACAACACUGAGGAGCCGCCUAUAUUAUACAUAUAUAUAUGUAUAUACUACACAGGUAAAGGCAGAUAUAAUAUCAUAUUAUAAUGUUGCAUUCCAAACGCCGCAAGUAUAUGUAUGUAUAUACUAUACGAUAUAUAAUAAACAUAUAUACAUACGCCGCGUGUAAAGCGAUAAAAAUCGGAGAAACUCGCGUUUUAGGUCACAGACUGCUUGGCACCUAUUACGUGUGCAUAUUAUAAUAUUCAAUUGUCGUAAACUCAUAUUAUUAUUAUAAUACACAACUACGCUGCAGCAGAGCCAGAGACGUCGCCGGUUCUACACACGGACACCAUCGAGGUUAACUGCAGCGGAGACGAACGCAAAGUGUAUAUUAUUAUAAUACAUAAAACGACGGUUCGGCGGCGGCGGCGGCAGCAUUGGCGGUAUGAUCUUUAUAUAAUUUUUCGUAGUGUCACCUGCGCGCUGUGCAACCAUAUUAUACACCGCUCCAGUGUACACCCCGCGGCGGACAUUCAAUCGGGUUCACUUCCUCCGGGCUCGUUUGUCCGUGAAAUUCCUACACGCCCACAACAAAAUUCGAGUCCAGGGGUCCCUGCGGGUGCGUUGUCGUAUACCUAUAUACAUACGCGUGAGUACGUAUUAUUAUAUAAUGUAUAUAUUAUUAUAUUGAGAUGUUUUUUUUUCCCGAAAAGAAACGAUAACCAAGAAAAAUUUGUAAAAAAAAAAGGGACUAUAUAAUAUAUGAUGAGUAUAAUAAGUCGUCCUAUAUAUUAUAUUAUUAUAUUAAAAUAUACAUUAUACAUAACAUAUAUUAUAUUAUUGUACGUCGUGUAUAUACGUAUAUAGUGUACAUAUACAGCACUUCUUUCGAUUUUUUUUCCCUCCCGUCCAGACGUAAUUUAUUAAAGAGGGUAUUAAGCCGGAACGGAGGCGACAUGUGCGUUUGACGGCCGCGAAUUCUCCGAUAAUCCAAUCAAUGACUAAUAGUGCGUUUAAUUUCCGACAACACGAUGUAAUUGUCGACACCGCUCGUCGCGCGCGUAUACAAGUCAACGAUUGCGCGCGUGUGCGGUGUUUAAUUGAAAACGGCAUAUUAUAUUAUUAUAAGUUUAUAUAGGCUGCUGCACGGUGUCAAUCAAACACGCGGCCGGUUCUAUGUUCUAUAUUAUAUAUAUAUAUACACACGUAAUGUAUGAUUGACACGGACCAAAUGGUGUUAUAAUAAUAUUACAACAACGGAACGGCGCGGACCGACAAGUCGUUUUUGCGUGAAAUCGCCCGAGCUCGUUUACCGAUUUCGCCGGCACUCGAUUACAUAAUCUAUACUGUAAUAAUGCGUAAUGUUCUAUGUAUGUGUACAGAUUUGUAUGUGUAUAUUCCGUCGUUAACUGUAUUAUAGUAAACCAAACCAACGGACUGCUUCGGUUACAAGCAGUCGUUCAUAUAAUAUAUAUUCCAUAUUUAUGUGCGCUGUCCGAACCCACACACAAUGUUGUCGCGACUGUAUAGAUUAUAAUAAUACUGCUGCUAUCAUAUAUUCGCACAACAAGAAUCAGUCCGCAUAUUGUAUGCAAAUAUAUUUUGUUCUGUUCUUCGGCGAGCUCUUGCCAAUAUAUAUGGGUUAACCCUAUUUGGUUUUGCCAAGCUUACCCCGUUCACUGCGAUUUUUUUAUUUACUCGCACCACG